GCGGCCUUGGCGAAAUCGGCAGUCGCGCGGGUUUUAGGUGCCCGUGGGAGAAAUCCCGUGAGGGUUCGAAUCCCUCAGGCCGCA
rnacentral:tRNA from 1 species